CGGUAGGUAGGACCGGGGAGCUAGCCCUGCCCCACACCUCAAACGGGACACAUGGAGGGGUCAGUAACCUACAAAGGAAUCGGAAGCGGACCUAGAAAGACCUGAUGCUCUUCGUCGAUGUCCUGCCCAGGGGGGUCGGCGGUUGUUCCGUGUACACUCGUAGGGGUGCAACUGGACAGUAGAGGGGUGAAAACGGCCAGGCCCGGGAGGGAGCAACCUAAGCUCUAACGUUUGACGCUCCCUGGAUAUCGGGACGGAGAAGGGUGUCUUGACACCUCGUGGUCUUAAUCCGUGAACAGAGUGGGAGCUACUG
rnacentral:SRP_RNA from 1 species